rnacentral:rRNA from 1 species
UGGGGAAUCUUGCGCAAUGGGCGAAAGCCUGACGCAGCGACGCCGCGUGAGUGAUGAAGGCCUUCGGGUUGUAAAGCUCUGUGGAGGGGGACGAAUAAGUGGGUGCGAAUAGCAUUCAUGAUGACGGUACCCUUUUAGCAAGCACCGGCUAACUCUGUGCCAGCAGCCGCGGUAAGACAGAGGGUGCAAACGUUGUUCGGAAUUACUGGGCGUAAAGCGCGUGUAGGCUGCCUCGCAAGUCGGAUGUGAAAGCCCUGGGCUCAACCUAGGAAGUGCAUUCGAUACUGCGAGGCUGGAGUCCUGGAGAGGAAGGCGGAAUUCUCGGUGUAGAGGUGAAAUUCGUAGAUAUCGAGAGGAACACCGGUGGCGAAGGCGGCCUUCUGGACAGUGACUGACGCUGAGACGCGAAAGCGUGGGGAGCAAACAG